UCCGAUCUGGGUCCGAUUUGGGCCGGCUCCAGCCGGGUCGGUUCCUUUGCUCAUCCCUAUUGUCUGGGAAAGUGUAUUCUGGAAAGAUACUGUCUGGGAAAUAAACCAUGUUGUUUGAUUGUACAUCUGAUUGAUUGUGCCGAAUGAUGAAAAAUGACUAUAUUACAAUGUUGUUUUGUAUCGUGAUUGAUGAAAUUGCUAAAUAAUUAUAAAAACAUAAAAAUUGUCACAAAAAAAUCAAAAUUGCACAAUAAUCAUUUAAAAAUCUAAAUACAAAUUGUCAUACGAAAUCAAAAUUACACAAAACAUAUGUUAAAAUCAAAAUUUCAGAUUGAAUCUGUAUAUAUGAAAUGGUCCUCCUAAAUCCUAUGCUAAAAAAUCAGAAGAAAAAAAAUAAGAUAAAACAUAUGAAGGUUCGAAUUUGGUACUCUCCAACCAAAAGAAACAAAUCAGAAAAAAAAAGAUGAGAUGGUUAGUUGUGGGGCGAAGCUAGUGGCUGCAACGACGCUCCGAUAGGAGGAGACUGCACGACGAUGAAGUAGGGAGCUUGGUGAGGAGGCGAUAAUGUCUGAUAAAGAGCACCAAAUAGAAGAAAGAAGAGGUGAGUUUUGGGGCGUAAUUGUUUUUUCCGCCCAUUCAGCCAGAAAGAUAUGGUUUUGAGGCUUUGUGGGAAAGACGCUGAUAUGUGCAUUUUAUGCACCUAUUUUGCAUGUUUAUUUCCAUCAUUUCAUAGCAUUUUACUUCAUAAUUCUUGUAUUUAGUUAAUUAUUUGGGCAAUUGCAUAUUUUUAUUAAGAAUGCCUGGUACUUCACUAUUUUUGAUUUAUUUUGUAGGCAUUAUGGAACAUGGAGCUUGGAGCAUGGAGCCUGGAGCAUGGAACUUGAAACAUGGAGGAUAAAGCUUUGGAUCAUGAAGAGAAGAUGGACACGCCAUGGCAUGGAAGAAAAUAUGAAGACUUAACCCGAGUUCUUGUUGCAUUAUCAUCAUAGCAAAGGACUACGUUUGAAACACGGUCGUGUCACACCGAGACAGGUCGUGUUUGUCCUUUCUCAUCUUAUACUCGAGCAACAUCACUCGUGGCGAAGCUAGACCGUAUAAGGACCCAACAUUAACGACUUUAGCAAAAAGCAUGGGCCAUGCUAAAAACACAUGGUCAAGACACAUGACCAUGCCAAAAACAUAUGGGCAAAGGCAUGGCCAUGCAAAGAAAAAAACGAAUGGUCUUGUGGCAAGCACGUGAGCAGUUAAUAAAACAAGGGAGGUCGCCACACCUUUCAGGGGGAUGAUUUUUGGAGCUUUAUCUGGCGAUUUUGGGAGAUUUUUGGGAAUUCUUGAAGGCUACUAAUCAAUGCAAACACUUUUAAUUUCAUUUUGUAAGCAUUAAGCAUUAAACAUUUCAUUGAUUUGUUCUUAGUCAUGUGUGGCUAAGAAACCUUAAUUUCUAGUUCUUGUUCAAAACAUGUUGAUUGCUUGACUUGAAGUAUAUGAUUUGAUGUUUGAUUUGUGACUCUGUUUUAGUGAUUAUGUAUUUGAUUAAACUAGAAUAAUUGAAUUUGAUUUGUGUUUGAUUGACCAUUUUCAUGAAUUGAAUUUUUGUGUAGUCAAUUAACUUUUAGGGUACCUAAUCGUUAUAUUAAGUUAAUAAAUGGUAACAAACAAUAAGUUUUCUUAUUGUAAAACAUAUAUCACAUGUUUUCACACUUCCGAGCGUAUGAGAAAAAAAUAAACAUUGUUGGGAAGCUUGUACAAAACUUAAUGCAAUUUUUCAAUACAAUAUAAGAACGUGUUUAGGUUGAAUUAGUAAAAUGAGGUCUAGUCAAAGAGCGUGUUUUGGUUAGAUAAUUUGGCAAGCGAGAGGUAUUAGAGCGUUUUAAUAUUUUUCAGUACCAACUUAGAAUAACAAUCACGAAUUACAUCAAUUCAUAAUCAAGUUUAACAACAACAUUGAGAACUAGAACUAGAACCAUUCAAUCAAAUUGUUUACAAGUUUAUUUCAUUUUCUGCAUGUUUUUACAGUAGACUGUUAUUUUAUUAUUUUACUCUUGCAAACAAUACCCCCUUUUAUGAUUAAAGUAUUUUGCGCAAAGAGCUAUAGACUUUUAUUCCAUGUCUCCGUGGUUCAACCCUGCUUGCCUUGAACUACUUUUUGGUGCAUUAAAGCAGUGUAUUUGGAGUCCGUUGUACCCUUAUUAUUUGUUGGGUUUGACAUGCUUAACAAACGCAUCUUACCAAGAAAGACUCAUUUCUUAAUGCAAAUCAAAUAGUCUUUCCGACCCCUUUAACUAAAAAAAUUUAUUUGGACCUGGAAAGAUGACCAUCAAACGGUGCUUGAGUAUCCUUUGUUCUUUGCUUGUCCAUCCUAACUUUUGCUCUUCCACCAUACUUAGUCUUCUUACGAGUGUCAUUACUCUUACUUUGAGCUUCACUUUCACUUUUCUCUUGCCACUUUGGUCCCCCUCUUUUUCCUUAUCGCUUUCGCCUAAGGUCUCCUUAAUCUAUCUUGCAUUUCUCAUUGCAAGAUCCAAAUUAGUCGAAAUACCAUAGUUUAACUUGAAAGCCCAUGUUAGUCCAUGCUUGUAGCAAUCAACUUUUGAUUAAUCAUUUGGUGCCAAUCUUCUUGCAAAACUCGAUUGGUUUUAACUAAAUACGUUUUCUAAAUUUUAUAUUUGAAAUUAAAAAUGAUAACUAAUCUUUUUUUUGAAAACUGAAAGCGAAAAACAAUCAUCAUAGAUUGUUGAAGAUGUAGUUGCUUCAAAAUUUAAUGAAUUAAUAAAAUAAUGUCAUUGAAACAGAGAAACAUUAGAUGUAUAUGUAAAAAAUAAAAUAUGAGAAAUGCUAAUAUAAGUGACACUGAGUUACCGAGAGAUGUUGAAAACUUAAAGUGUUAAAUAAUAAAAUCGAAUCAAAAGACUUAUAGUCUAGCGGUAUCAGAAGUUGGAAAAUAAAUUAUUUCCCUUUCAAAUCUUAUUUGAAAUACUGAUGUAGUUUAAGAUUAUAUAAGAAUCCGUUAAAAAUUGAAAAAGGACGUGGACAUCCCAUGAUUUUAUUGCAACGAAGUGUAGGCAACAUGAGUGGUUAUUCGCGACCAACCACAAAUAAAAGGAUGCAAAGCCGAAUGGAAGGGACUUGCACACAUCGACAUUUAUCCACAAACAUCUCAACAAUUUUGAAAAAAAUAGAGAAAUGCACGCAUGAGCAUUUUCGCAAACACCUCUAAGAUAUUUUGUCAAAAUUAAUGAAUUGAAAGGAUUACAAUUCUUUUUAUUUUUUACCCAUUUAGUCACUGUUUUUUUAAUACAUUGAAUUAAUAAUCCUAUAAAUUUGUUAAAAAUUACCAUUUUAACUGGUAUUUAUGAGUUUAUGCGGUUACCACUUGACGUAGCAUAUCAUGUCGUUGCUCACUUGGAUUUUUGGUUGACAUGACUUGUAAACAUUUAACCACUAAUUUUUAUUGUUCUUACACAUUGACCAGUAAUCUUACAAAUUAAUUCAAAAGAAUAUCAUUAUACCAAUAUGUAUUUAUAUGAGAAAAUACGAAAAUACAUAUUGGGAGUUACAUUAUAUAAAAAAGUGGUGAAAUGAUAUUUUUUGAAAAAUAGAAAUACGCCUUGGCUCGGAGGUAGAGGGGGAAACCAAACAAAUUUUAGAGGUAUACGAUUUUUGGCGCUGAGAUGAUUCUUAAAAGUCCACACCAGGUUUCUCAUACAUAAUUCUUGCGGAUUUGGUUUCUGAUGUAGGGCUGUCGGUCGUAUUGAAUUCGGUAGACAGAAAUCUGGCAUUCCCCUACCAAUCUCUCUGUAAGUUUCCCCCGUACCUUCAGAUUAAAUACAGUCAUUUCCAUGUUCUAAUGUUGAUCUACUACAUACCUACAUAACUACAUUUGAUGAAUCGAAAUAUUCGCACCAGAGCUUAUGUAUAUGUGGAGUUAAUAUCUUAAUUAUCACGACUGUGUGUUUCGUGUGUGAAUCCUCAAAUCCAAAUAGGAAAUGAUCCGUGAAAGUUUGAAAGGAUAUGAUUCGUUGAGUUUCAGUUGGUUUCUCUAAAUAAUCAGCACUAGUCACUGAAAUUUUUGCAAUAGCAGUGUUAGAUCAUCAUUCUACUGUCUGUCUUUUAUGUGCGUUAUUAUGUCUGUACUGAAUUCCUGGAAUCAAGUUUGAAAGGAAUGUAUGCUAUUCAGCACGUUUGAAAGGGCAUGCUGUACCCCUGACUGAAUUCUUCUACCUCCAUUGCACUAUUAGAGUCCGGUCUCGACCUUAAGUUUCAAAAAUACUUCGAAGUAGAUUUAAAUUAUUUGGCUAGGGAGAAAAAUGUAUGAGUAUAUUAAUCUAUACACAAUAGUAAGAUGGAAUACUUUUUGUGAAAGAGAGAUAGACUGUCAUCACAUAAGUUUUAAGGAAAAUUCAAUUUACAAAACACUAGUUUCACACAUUUCACUCAAGCACACAAUGUAUAUGCAAAUUAAUACUGCAUUCAUCUCACUCUUCUACAUCUACUUAAAAAAAGGGACACGUCUAACAACUGCUUCCUCCUAGGCUUGAUCCUUAAUCGAAAUCAAAGGCUUUUUCCCCACAUUCAUCAAGCAUGUAAUGCGCUGAGUUCCAUUUGAACCAUUUAUCACGGUUGCUUUUUUUCUUUCUUGGAAAAUUUACAUACUGAUAUGUCUUGCUAAGUACUCACUUGAUCUUUCUCUUUUGGUGAUGGUGGUUUUGAAGGAGAAGACUUACCAGUUAUUGCUUUCUUCACCUUGGCGAUUGAAUGCUUAACUUUUGACCCAACACCUGACAAUAUAUUAUGAGAUUUCUUAGGAGUCUUGACUUCAAUGUCUUUCGAUGCUUCUACCAUAACCGGAGCAUCAAUCAUUUGGUUAUCGUCUUCAUCUUCUUCUUCAUUCUCUUCAUCUGUUUUUGUUCCCUUCUCACCAGUUUCUUCUUUGUCUACUUGCUGAUCUUUUGUCAGAGCUGUCUCUCUUUCUUCAAUCAAGCUUUCAGCCACGGCUGUUUGAGACUUUUCUUUUUCAUUUCCCAUUUUCUUCUCUUCUCCGAAAGCUUCACUGCUGCAUUGUGAUUCGGUUCCUGAAGAUUUAGUGGCUUUUAAAUCAUCUGCCUCAGCAAUCAAUGGCUUUGUAGUUGGCUCCCCUAGCUCAUUUGCCACAUCUUUGUUUCCAGUUAAGAGCUUUCUCUCUAUACUCUCAUCUAGAUGUGGUUUAUUUGAGGACUGGUUAUCCACAGUGCAAGCUGAACCUUCAUAUGUUUGUAUUUCCGGCUGAAUUUUACUUAUUUUUAUAAGGUCAUCUGUUACAUGUUUCUGUGAAAUCUCCAAGUCCUCUGUAGUUGUAGUACCAGGAGUCACAGGUGCAUCAAGUUCCAAGGGUUCCUGCAAAAUGAUUACCAGUUUAUUAGUUGUGGGAAUGGAAAUAUGGGAACAAAGGUUAACUGGGUUACAAAAGUGAAUAAGGUGCAUGAGAAGAUUUUUAAUUCUAUCAAACCUUUUCAGUUGGAAUUUCUCUCUCUAUGUUUUCAUCUACUUCUUUUUUCUGCACACUUUGAAUAUCAGAGCAUUCUGCAUUGUUCACGGCGUCAACAGUUAUUGCUUCUGGUGUAUAAUCAAAGUCCUUCUCACGCUUUUGAACAUCUAUUACAGCAACUUCAGGUGUAAUUUUCUCAAUGGUAGUAGUAGUUUCUGGGUUAUUUUUCUCUAGAAGCAUCAUGGGGGAAGCUUCCUGAACAUUUCCUGGUAAACUUUCAGAAACUUUGCUACCCUCAGGGACUAUUUCAGCAACAUCGGAUGCAAUUUCAAAAACUUCAGUUGGCUUUUCUUCAGACUUGUGUAUAUCAUCAUAGCCUCUGCUGAUGCUCUCCUCAGAUCUAACUUCUAUACCUUGCUCUGUAGGACUUGAUAUCGAAUCAGAAGUGGUUUUCGUGAGGUCAUCUGCUUGUGAUUCGCUUAGUGUUUCUUUCUCCUUGUUUGCAUCUUCUUCCAAUGUCUUUUCUUCUGUCACCAAAAUCUUUGGAAACUCUUCCUCUAUGAAUUCUAGAUUCCGAUCCUUGUUGCUUAUGUUGCUGUGGUCAACCUGUGUCUUAUCUGUUUCUAGUACUAGUUCUUUUGUUUGGUCUUCAACAGUUGAAGAUGCAAGUUCUUCAAGUGGUACAAUGGACACAAGUUUCUGUUACAUGAAAAAAACCACAAAAAUCUACAUGAUCAGUAGGUGAAGGUUAAAUUUCCAUUUGCAUGUAAUAAUCUAAAUGCCAUUUAUAAUGAUAAAACUACAUGAAAUCAGGCUAUGUUAACAAUGUCUUAUUAGCAUAGGAUCAGUAUAGGGAGGCUUUAACCAUGGGAUAAUCACAGUAAUAUUUUGUCAAGGGCUCAUGGCCUAGUUUCUUUCAAGCUGGUUGUCAUCCAGUGGUCUCAAAUCGAAUUAAUAGAAGACAAAGUUAGGGUUAUUUUUUUAUCAUCAGGGCUUAAUCUUUUUACCUUCUCACUUAAUGACCCAUCCACAGGUGUUUGACACGUGUCAUUUGUUACUUCUGGAUGUUCUUCCUCCAUCUCCAUCUUGAGAGUUGUUUCAGGAGUUUGUAUUUCAGAUAUAAGUUCAUCAUCCUUUUCUUUCUUCUCAAACUCAAGAUCAGGGGCUUCUGCAGACUGUAUAUUUUCUAGUUCUGUUGGGCUUUCUGCUUUCACUUCUUUGACUUCAUUGUUUCCAGCUGGUAUCGGCUUUGAAUAUUCUAUCUGUUAAAAGAUAUUUAUCAUUUUAAUAUCUGAAUAAAUGAAAUCAAUCUGAUAUUUUAGUAUCCUUCUUGCUGUCUUUACUGACCUCAUCAUCUAGGUCCUUUUGAUUUGAUGUCGAUGUCUUAUCGAGUUCUGGAGGACAUAUAUCUUCCUCAGAAACAUGUUCAUUGACUUCAUUUUUUUCCUCUUCUUUUUCAGUCUCCACUACAACCUGCUCAAUACAUACAAUGUUGUUAUCAUGUAAGCAGAAGUUUUGGAGUACCUGGUGAACAGUGAACAAAAAAAAACAUAAUCGAGUGCUACUUUUGACUUACCUCGUCAGUCAAGAUGAUAUUCUUGAUUGUCUCACUUUGAUUUUCUGUGUUGUCAAUCUGAUUUUCAGGUGCAAGUGUAACAUCCUCUUUUAUAUCUCUUUUCUCAUCUGCUAAAUCCUUUUCACUCGUAUACUUAAUGAUGUUUUCAGAGGUGAUGUCUGAUUUUUUUGGUUCAGGAUUUGUUUCCUUAACCUCGUCUUCUUCUAUCACUGAUUCAGAUGUGGGUUUGAUUACUUCAAGAUCCUAUUUUGCAACAAAAGAAGAAAAAAUAAAAUUUAGAUAGUAUGAUUGAUAAGGCCUCUUUCUUAGGAUAACAGCUGCAUAAAAGGAAUGGUGAUAGUUCUUUAUUUGUGCACUAACCUCUUUAAUGAAAACUGCAUCACGAGAUGAUAUUGAAAGGUGUUCUGCAACUUGCUUGCUUUCUGUUGUCUGUUUUCAUUAGCGUAAAGUAUAUCAAGUUCAUUAUAAGAGAAAUGCAAGAAAAAGAAUGUGUUAUUCAAAACUCUUGAAAAUCUUCUAACCUCUUCACUUGAAAUUUCAUCAGUUCUAACCUCAGAGACCCCAACAGGUAUUGGAUCUGAAUAUGGUAUCUACGUGAAAAAAUGUCAUGUUAAAACGUAUACUCAUACAGAUAUGAACAUAAUACAAAUCUCAUCUUUCUGUUAAUAGACUCACCACAUGUGCCGUUUCCUUUUGAUCUUCUGAAGAUUUCUCCUGAAGUUCUGUGGAAUGACUAUCUUCCUCAACAAUCUGUUCUUUGAGGUCAUCUGUUUCCUUUUCCUUUGGUAUAUUUAAAGGCACCUGUUCAAUUUAUAUAACAUUCCUGUAAGCAGAUCCCUUUGAUGACUUGAUAGAUAAGAAAGUCUGGUGGUAUUAUUUCUUGCUCACCUCUUCAUUCAAGAUAACAUCCUUUGACAUCUCACUGCAGUCUUCUGUGCUAUUAAGCUGAUUUUCUUGUGUAACAUCCUCUUUCAUAUCUUCUUUUUCAUACAAUGAAUCAUCUGCACCAAUUUUUGUUGUCUGUUCUGUUUUCUGCAUCCAUUAGUGUCAAAAGUAUGUUAAGAAAACACAAAAAGAAAUGCAAUAAAAGGAUGUGUGAACUGUAAAGACAUUGUAAUUCUAUCUGACCUCAUCACUUGAAAUUUCUUUUGUUACAGUUUGUUUCUCUUCAUCCACAUAUGUUGUUGUUGCUGAUGUAAGACGAUCUUCUUUCGGGUUUGAAUCUUCUGACUUGGGCACCAAUUCAGGGAUUUUUACAUCAUAGACAGAUUCAAGAUCUAGUGGCAAAGUUUUAAGGGUUUCUUCUGUUGUAGUUACUAAUGAACUUGAGGGUACAAUAUCUUCUUGAGGUUUGACUUCUGUUGUUUCAUUUGAAUCCUUAGAUUUUUCUUUUGAUGCUUCAUCCAAACCAUCAUUCUGUUGCUCAACAGGUUCAAUCUCCCUUGUUCUUGCAUCUUGAAAGCACUUUUCUUCUUUAGUUGUAGUGUCAUUUGGAUUCUCUAUGCUGUCAUGGGAUAAAUGUUCAUCCUUUUUUGUGAUUUCCUCUUCUUCUAUAGUUUCACUUAUGGUUUCAGUUGGACCUGCCUGUAUCUCCUCAACAAUUUGUCCUUUAGGUUGACCAAGCUCUGACGACACCUGUUUAAAAUAUAUUUUUUUAAAUAAUUUAAUAUAACAAACAACUGAAUAUCGAAGAAGGUUGAGCUAUAUCUGUUAUAAAAUGAAGUCUUUUGAAUAUUCUAUCUGUUAAAAGAUGAUAUCCAACUUUGAAUGAACAAAUGAAAACAUUUUGAUGUUAUAGUUCCCUUUUUCACAUGUCCACUGACCUCAUCGGUUAAUUCCUUUUCAUCUGAUGUUGUUGUCUUUUCAUCUGCUAAGUCCUUUUCAGGCAAGAUGACAUUCUCCAUGAUGUUUUCAGGGGUGAUGUCUGAUUGUUCUGGUUGAGGCUUUGUUUCCUUAACCUGGUAUUCUUCUAUCACCAUCUUAGACAUGGGUUUGAGUUCUCCAUGUAGUUCUAGAUUCUAUUUUGCAAAAAAUAAACCAAAAUAAUGCAGAUAGUUUUACUUUCCAUAUGACAACAUAAGUGUUCAUGAUAGAGUGAUAUGUCAAUAUGCAUUAACAUCAAAAAUCUUGAAAAUUUUCUAACCUCUGUACUUGAAGUUUCAUUAGCUAUAACUUCAUGUUCUUUCUCUCCAUUGUUUUCAUCUGUAUACUCGGUUGUUGCUGAGACAAUGCUCUCUUCUUUCACUUUUGAGUCUUCUGAAUCAACAACUACUUCAGGGGUUUGUACAUCACAAACAGAUUCAAGAGCCUGUUUGGGUGACUCAUCGAUUUCUAAUGGAUCUGAAUACGAUAUCUGCUUAAAAAAAUUCAUGUUAACACAUAUUCAUACAGCAUGAACAAAAUACUAUUCUCAUCUUUCUGUUAAUAGACUAACCACAGGUGCCUUUUGAUCUUCUGUUGAUUUCUCUUGUAGCUCUGUGGAAUUACUAUAUUCCUCAACAAUCUGUUCUUUGAGGUCAUCUGUUCCCUUUUCCUUUUGUGUCUCUAAAGGUACCUGUUCAAUCUAUAUAACAUUCAUGUAAGCAGACCCCUUUGAUGACUUGAUAGAUAAGCAAGUGGUUAUAUAUUUAUCGUAUUCACCUCUUUAGUCAAGAUGACAUCCUUUGAUAUCUCACUGCAGUCUUCGGUGCUAUUAAGCUGAUUUUCUUGUGUAACAUCCUCUUUUUCAUACAGUGAUUUGUUUUCACCAAUUUCUGUUGUCUGCAACCAUUAGUGUCAAAGUAUGUCAAUAAAGCACAGAAGAAAUGCAAGAAAAAGAUGAUGUGAACUGUAGGGACGUUUUUCUGUCUGACCUCUGCACUUGAAACUUCUUUUGUUUCUGUUUCUUUUUCUUCAUCCACAUGCGUUGCUGUUGUAAGACACUCUUCUUUCAUGUUUGAAUCUUCUGACUCGAGCCCCACUCCAGGGAUUUGUACCUCAGAAACAGUUUCAAGAUCUUCAAGGAAGAUCUCUUUAGUCAUUUCUGUCUGCUCCUGCCUUUCAUCAGUAUUGACCACUGUGGUAGCAUGUUGUCCGAUUGUUGUUUCUUUUAUAUCCUCACUGGAUGCAUUUUGUGAGCUUGUAACAUCAUCUUCACCAUCUUGGACUUCUUCUGACAUUUUGAGGUCUUUUUCUUUUGCUUGAUUUUCCUCUUUGCUCACUGUUUCAUCCUCAUUCAAUUCAGAUUCAACCUUCUCUAAUCCUGUCACUUCAUGGACUUCCUUAACCAGGGAGCUUUCAGACUUUUCUGUUUGACCAUCAUCAUUGACUACAUCCUCCUUUUUUUCUAUGGUUUCGACACUAGAUUUGAUUUCUUCAGUGUCUUCCUCUAUACUUUCUCUAGUUUCAAAAAACUCAGGUUCUUUACCUUCUUCUUGGUAGUUCUUUUUUUGCAAGUCUUCUUCUAAUGCUGCAACCUGUGAGGUUGUUACAUUGUCCUCACCUUGACCUUCUGCCGACAUGUUGACCUGAUCCUUUUCUUGAUCUUCAUCUUUAAAAGUUUCUAUUGCUUUUAUCCCUUCUUCAGAUUCAACCUUUUCCGAACUAGUCUCAUCACAUACCUCUUUGACAGAGUGGAUAGGAGGCGUUUCCAUUUGAUCAUCAUCAUGCUCAAUAGGCUCUUUGUUUUUUUCUUCAGUUUCUGUUUUCUCUUCUUGAGAUUCCACUUGUGCUGAUGUGAAAACAUCAGUUGUGAUGGCAUGUGGCAACUCUCCUUGCUCCACUUUUUCUUUUGUUUUAACAUUUGUGCUUAUAAGUUCAUUAUCUUCCUCCAUGCUUUCUCUAGUUUCAAAAAAUACAUCCUCAGAGGCUGCAACUGUAUCCUGUGAGCAUAUAACUUCAUCCUCACUUUGGUCUUUUUCUGGUAUGUUGAGCUCUUGUUCCUUUUCUUGAUAUUCAUCUUUGCUUAAAAUUUCUAUUUCUUUCUCAUUCUGAUACAUAUCGGAAUUUAUCCCUUCUUCAGAUACAGUCUUCUUUAAGUCAGUCUCUUCACAUACUUCCUGUUGCUCCUUUUCAUCUGUUUCAACACUUGGUUUGAUUUCUUCAGUAUACAUCUCUUGCUCAAAAAUUAUGCUGGCACUUUCUUCUAUUUUAUCUUUUGCUCCAUUAUCAUCAUACUGCUCGCUUGCCUAUAUGAAGAGUGUAUUUUGAGUACAUGGGCAGAAUGGACAAUACAGAACUUGGUAAGUCUAAUGUAUAGUCAAAGUUUGUAAAACAAUCUGUGUAACAGCUUAGUUUAUUGGUCUCUUUUUCAAAAGAAAAUUAUGAGCAGCAUUUGCUCUAAAGUCUAAACUACUUUAUAAAACGGGUUUCCCUUAGAAUUUAUCAUUUUCAUAAAUAUCCACAACUUGCUUUUCUUCUAGUUCUAUACCCCUCCCCAAUUGUACUGUUCAAUUGAAUAAAUCAAGUUCUGUAUUUGAAGUUACACUUAAUAUGCUCUAUAAAAUAUGUAUUUUAUCUUGUUUAGGGCCCUUAAAAUGGUCUAAUAUAUAUAUAUNNNNNNNNNNNNNNNNNNNUAUAUAUAUAUAUAUAUAUAUAUAUAUUUGUAAGAGAUACUUGAACUACCGAGUUGAACAACUUAUGCAUUUGUUACUUUCUCAAACACAUGAGAUGAGAAAUUUUGUAGCAGACAACAUAAUGUCUUGAUAAUUUUAGCAUUGCAAGUUUAGUUGGAAUGAUGUACAAGUAAAACCUUUUGAAAUAAUUAGAGAUUACUUAAGAUGAACAUAAAUUACCUCUUGAGCAUGAAUUGAUUUGUCUUCUAUUUCUUCCUUGAGGAUCUCUUUGGUCAAUGCACUAUCAUCUUUGCUCUCCUCAAAAUCAACCACUGUGGUAACAUGUUGACCAAUUGUUGACUCUUGUAUAUCCUCACACGUUGCAUCUUCUGAACUUGUAACGGCAUCCCCACCACCUUGGACUUCUUCUGGCAUUUUGAGUUCAUGUUCCUUUUCUUGAUUUUCCUCUUUGCUCACUAUCUCAUUCUCAUUCAAUUCAGGUUUAGCCUUCUCUGAUCCUGUCACUUCACACACCUCCUUAACCAAUGGGCUUUCAAACUCAUCAUUGACUAUAGCAUCUUCCUCAAUCUUUUCUUCAUUUUCCAUAGUUUCUUUUUUAGGUUCUAUUUCUGUUGAGCUGCAAACAUCAGUAGUAAUGACAUGCAGCAACCCUUGUUGCUCCAUAUUUUCUUUUGUUUCUAUACUAGAUUCGAUUUCUUCAAUGUUUUCCUCUACACUUUCUCUCGUUUCAACAACUUCAGGUUCUUUACCUUCUUCUUGGUAGUUCUUUUCUUGCAAGUCUUCUUCUAAGGCUGCAACCUGUGAGCUUGUUACAUUAUCCUCGCCUUGACCUUCUGUUGACAUGUCAACCUGAUCCUUUUCUUGUUCUUCAUCCUUGAAAGUUUCAAUAGCUUUUACCUCUUGUUCAGAUUCAACCUUUUUUGAGCUAGUCUCAUCGCAUACCUCCUUGGUAGUCUCUUCAUAAACCUCCUUCAUAGACUCUUCAUUCUUUUGUUCAGUUUCCGUGGUCUCUUCUUGAGAUUCUGUUUGUGCUGAUAUGCAAGCUACCUCUUGAGCAUCACUUGGUUUUUCCUCUGUUUCUUCCAUAAGGAUCUCUUUAGGCAUUAAACCUAUCGCUUGUCCCUCCUCUAAAUAGGCCACUGUAGUGUCCUGUUGACCAACUGUUGUUUCUUUUAUAUCCUCACACGUUGCAUCUUUUGAACUUGUAGUUGUAACAUCAUCCCCUAAACCUUUUCCUGACACAUAAACCUCUUGUUCCUUUUCUUCAUCUUCAACUUUGUUCACUAUUUCUUUCUCAUUUGUUGUUUCUUUUACCUCUUCGCUAUAUUCAACUUUCUCUGAACUGGUCUCUUCACAUACUUCAUUGACUGGGGAGCUGUCAACAUUUUCCUUUUGACCAUUAUCACUCUGAAUAGGCUCGUCACUUUUUACUUCAUGUUCUUCACUUUCUACCUGAGAUUUUGUUUGUGAUGUGAUGCAAUCAUCAUGCAACAGUUCUUGCUGCUUGGUUUCAACACUUGGUUUGAUUUCUUUAGUAUCUUCCUCUUGCUCAAUCUCUGAACAAGAUUGAACAGUUUUGUUGUCGCUUUCAUCAGGCUUUUGUUCUGUUUUGUCCUAUUAGAGAAAAAGUAUUCAGUUAGAUAUGAUGAUUUAUAUAAAUAGGCUCAAAGUUUUUAAAAACAAUCUCUGUGGUAGGUUUUUUUCAUUGUUCUUUUUUAAGAUAAUUGUGAGUGACAGUUGUUCUUUAUAACAUUAACAUGAUUCUACAUUGCUUAGUAAUAAAACAUUAAAAGUUUUAGUAGGAAAGAUAUACAAGUAAAACCUUUUGGAUUGUUCAGAGUUAACAUGGGAUGAACACGAAUUACCUCUUGAGCAUCAAUUGCACUCUGAUUCGGCUCCUCGAACUCGAUAUCAGCCACUGGGGUAGCCUUUUGACCAAUUAUUGUUUCUUUUAUAUCCUCGCUGGAUGCAUUCUGUGAGCUUGUAACAUCAUCUCCACCACCUUGGACUUCUUUUGACAUUUUAAUCUCUUGUUCCUUUUCUUGAUUUUCCUCAUUGUUCACUAUUUCAUUCUCAUUCAAUUCAGAUUCAGCCUUCUCUGAGCUUGUUGCUUCACAUACUUCCUUCACCAAGGGGCUUUCAGACUUAUCUGUUUGACCAUCAUCAUUCACCAAUGCCUCUUCAUCAAUCUUUAUAUCAUCUUUUGUUUCGGCACUAGAUUUGAUUUCUUCAGUAUCUUCCUCUAAAUACUCUCUAGGUUUGACAAAUUCGGGUUCCUUACCUUCAUCAUCAUAUUUUGUUUCUGGUAAGUCCUGUAUAGAAGUUGCAUCUUGUGAGAAAGUGACAUCAUCUUUUCCUUGGUCUUCUUCUGAAAUGAUGGACUCUUGUUCUUGUUCUUGUUCUUUUUCUUUUUCUUGAUGUUCAUCUUUGUCAGAAGGUUCUACCCCUUCAAAUUUACCCUUCUCUAAGUGAGUUUCUUCACAUACUUCAGUCACAUCUUCAUCGUCUGUAAUCUUUACCUGCUCCUUUUCAUCUGUUUCCACACUUGGCUUGAUUUCUUCAGCAUUUUCAUUUUUGUUGACACUUUCCUCGGGCUUUUGUUCUAUUUUUUCAUUUGCUCCACUCUCAUCCUGCUCACUUGCCUAUAUGAACACAAGUAUUUUGAGUACAUGUGGAGAAUAAAAGUAACACAUCAUGAUAAGUCUAAUGCAUAGUCAAACUUUUAAAACAAUCUUUGUGGCAGCUUCAAAAAAAUUUGUGAGCCAAAUUUGCUAUAAACUACUUUAUAGAAUGGUUUUCUCUAAACAUUUAUCGUUUUAUGAACUCUAACUCUUCUCAACAAAUGAAACUAAACGUUUGGAUGAGACAAGCAUUUGACAUUAAAAUUAUGUAUGAAAAUCAUAAUAUUGUCUUAUACUUUUAUAAAUUAAACAUAAAACUAGUAAGAAUUAGCCUUAACAUUUAACAAUACAUUAGUAUAAUAUGUGAUUUUUAGUUUCUCUUACACAUGAGAUAAGAAAAUAUGUAGCAGACAACAACAUUUCCAUAUGUCAUAAUGAUUAUAGCAUUUCAAAUUCUAGUAAGACUGAUCUACAAUUAAAACUGUAAAACCUUUUAGGAAUAGUUAGGUUUACUUAGAAUGAACAUGAAUUACCUCUUGCACAUCAGUUGAUUUGUCCUCUGCUUCUUCCUUAAGGAUCUCCUUAGGCGUUGAGUUUAGAGCCUGUUCCUCCUCUAAAUAGGCCACUGUAGUAACAUGCUCACCAGUUGUUGUUUCUUUUAUAUCCUCAAAUGUUGCAUCUUGUGAACUUGUAACAUCAUCCCCUAAACCUUUUCCUGACACAUAAACCUCUUGUUCCUUUUCUUCAUCUUCAACUUUGCUUGCUAUUUCGUUUUCAUUCAGAUCGAUAUUAACACUGUCAGAAAGUUUUAACCCUUCUUCAGAUUCAACCUUCUCUGAGACAGUCUCUUCACAUACUUCCUUCACCAUGGUCUCUGUAUUAGAACUAUCAGAGUAGUUCACCUCUUCUUUAUAUUCAAUUUUCUCUGAACUAGCCUCUUCACAUACUUCAACACUUGGUUUGGUUUCUUCAGUAUCUUUCUCUUGCUCAAUUUCUGAACCAGACUGUACAAUUUUGUUGUCACUUUCUGCAGACUUUUGUUCUUUUUUGUCCUAUUAGAGAAGAAAUAUUCAGUAUAUUAUACGACUGAAAGAAAAGAAAUGAUGAUUUAUAUAAACAGGCUUAAAGUUUUUAAAAACAAUCUUAAGGGUAGGUUUUUUUCAUUGUUAUUCUAUAAAAUAAAUGUGAGCGACAGUUGUACUUUAUAACAUGAAUCUACAUUGGUUAGUGAUAAAAAAAAGCAUUUCAAGUUUUAGUUGGAAUGAUGUACAAGUAAAACCUUUUGGAUUGUUUAGGAGUUAACAUGGUAUGAACAUGAUUUACCUCUUGAACAUCAAUCACACUCUGAUUCUGCUCCUCGAACUCGAUAUUAGCCACUGGGGUAGCCUGUUGACCAAUUGUUGUUUCUUUUAUAUCCUCACUGGAUGCAUUCUGUGAUCUUGUAACAUCAUCUCCACCACCUUGGACUUCUUCUGACAUUUUAAGCUCUUGUUCCUUUUCUUGAUUUUCCUCUUUGCUCACUAUUUCGUUCUCAUUCAAUUCAGAUUCAGCCUUCUCUGAGGUUGUCGCAUCAUAUACUUCCUUCACCAAGGGGCUUUCAGACUUCUUUGUUUGAUCAUCAUCAUUCACUAAUGCCUCUUCAUCAAUCUUUAUAUCAUCUUUUGUAUCAGCACUAGAUUUGAUUUCUUGAGUAUCUUCGUCUAUAUUCUCUCUAGGUUUGACAAAUACAGGUAAGUUCUCUAUAGUGGUUGCAUCUUGUGAGCAUGUGAUAUCAUCUUUUCCUUGGUCUUCUUCUGAAAUGAUGGACUCUUGUUCUUUUUCUUUUUCUUGAUCUUUAUCAUUGUCAGAAGGUUCUACCCCUUCAAAAUUUCCCUUCUCUAAUUGAGUUUCUGCACAUACUUCAAUCACAUCUUCUUCAUAGUCUGUAAUCUUCACUUGUUCCUUUUCAUCUAUUUCCACACUUGGCUUGAUUUCUUCGGUAUCUUCAAUUUUGUUGACAAUUUCCUCGGGAUUUUGUUCUAUUUUUUCGUUUGCUCCACUCUC
rnacentral:lncRNA from 1 species